CACAGAGUUGGACACGACUGAAGUGACUUAGCAGCAGCAGCAUAUCCUUCUUUAAAAAAGCGCCAUCACCAAAGCGAAGUGAUUCACCCUGAGAUAAUAACAUUUCUGGCAUCCACAAUUCCAUGAAAUACCUGAGGCACAGGAGUUCUUGGGAGAAAGAAUUUACCAGAGAAGUGGUUAAACAGAGCAAUGAGAGGACAUGGGUUUGAUCUCAGCUCUGGGAAGAUUCCAUGUGCUGUGGGCCAACUAGGCCCAUGCAGCACAACUACUGAACCUGUGACUGCAACCACUGAAGCCUGCAUACCCGAGAACCUGUGAAACCGAGAAGCCACUGUAAUGAGAAGCCCUUACACAGGAAUGAAGAGUAGCCCCUGCUCACCUCAACCAGAAGAAGCCCACUCACAACAACAAUCAAAGAAGACCCAGCACAGUCAAAAAUAAAAUGAAUAAAUAAAUAAAUAGUAAAAAGAGAUAUAUUCACUUCAAAACUCGGGUUGUAUUACAGAAUCAAACCAUAUGUGCUGUUUUCACUGGAACUCAUUCAAUACAAUAACAAUCAUGAGGAUUUUAUGACACCUGGAAUUUCAGUAACCUGAUAGCAUAUUUAGCACAUGGUACGAUCAUUCAUUUUUUUCUGUAUAUGAAAAAAAUACUGUAUCUGUGAGAACAUUCCAGUGAGGAUUAUCUACUAAGAAACAGAGAUUCCCAGGUCUUUGUUAAUGGUGGAAAUAGCUCUGAUAACUAUUUACUGGAGCAGGGAAAAGACUAAAGUUUAGCUUAUAUUUAUGAGAUUUCUUCAGGUGUUAUGUAUCAAGUCAUAAUACUUUUUUGUUUAACAAAUUAGAAAUUUCCUCUUUCAGUUGAUAAAAGCUGGCUUUUGUUCUCAAGGUUUCUUUUACAAAAAGGUGAAUUUUGGUGCGUCAUACUUAAAAUCCUAACCAAAAACUGACAAGUUUUCUUCCCACCAACUUCUCUCUGGGGCACCCUGAUGUCGGCAUCAGGAAGAGUGAGGUCAUGUGCUUUUAAUAAACCCAAAUGCCAUCAAAUAUAGGAAAUCAUUUGGCAUUUCCUUUACUGGAUACAAAACCUUACCUUUAUUAGUCAUUUAAUUAUGAGUUCAGCAAUGAAUUUGUGAUGUGGAAGAACAAUAUUCAUUAAUAAUUAGGGAAAUGAGCAAUGCACAAAAUUUUCUAAUAGGUCCAACCCUUCUUUUUCCUGCAUGGUAAAUGUUUGUGAAGGAAAUAUGCUUUAAUAAGAUAAGAGGUUUCAGUAGAGGCAUAUUUAUUACUUCUCCCUGAGUGGACUCAACAUGAAACUGGCAACUGUUUUAAAAAAAUACAUUUAAUCCCAGAUCAUUAUUAUUACAUACUGCUUACAGUAUAAAGUCCUCAGCUUGCUUUUGAAAGCAUUAUGACAAAGGCCCUCAUUUUGUGCUUGAGGAAAAUGUGAAGCCAAACAGUUAGAGGAACCUAACCGUUUACAGAUCUGAGAGUCAAAGAUAGUUUUUCUGGCUUUUAAUGCAAAGAUUGCUUCAAUAAACCUUUGAGCAUUUGAUUUUAUCUGAAAAAAUUUGUAAAAAGAAGCUAGGAUAUUCUAAAGAAGAAUAAAAAGCUUUAAACGUGUGUAUAAUUUGGAAUUCAGUAAUUCCUUAUCAAGGCCUUUAUCCUAAAGAACCACUCAGUAAUAUGUAUAACUAUACUUGUAGAACAAUAUUUAUUGCAAUGCUGUGAAACAGUUUAAUAA